UGAAUUUGAUGAAAUUUGACUUGGUUUAUAUUUUGUUUUUGUUUUAUUUUUAUUUUUAUAUAAAAGUGCUUUUAGGUUUUUUGUUUCUUGUGUAUGCAAGAAGCAAUUCACACUAGAAGCAAGAAAAAUCAACCUCUUCUCGAAGGACUAAGUGACAGGAGGGGGAAGAGAGUCUGAAGACCAUCCAAAGAGUUGUUUCCCUCUCCUG
rnacentral:lncRNA from 1 species